ensembl:lncRNA
CUACUGUUAGCUAGCCAGGUAGACACGAAGAAUUGACAUCUACCCUUUAGUUUUAGGUCUCCUGGUUAGCUACAUUAUUACGAUUCACAUAUAGCUGGCUGAUAGUUAUGAAGUAAAAUGUUUUCUUUUUGUAUAUCUUGUUUUAUCUCUAUUGCCAUUGUCCUGUCUGGAAGAAGGUUCAGUGAAUGGGGAGGUGCAGCGGGAGGUAAUACAGUAGGGAGAGUGGGAGGUAAUACAGUAGGGGGAGGUGCAGCGUGAGGUAAUACAGUAGGGGGAGGAGCAGCAUGAGGUAAUACAGUAGGGGGAGGAGCAGCGUGAGGUAAUACAGUACGGGGAGGAGCAGCGUGAGGUAAUACAGUAGGUGGGGGAGCAGCAUGAGGUAAUACAGUAGGGGGAGGAGCAGCGUGAGGUAAUACAGUAGGGGGAGGUGCAGCGUGAGGUAAUACAGUAGGGGGAGGAGCAGCGUGAGGUAAUACAGUAGGGGGAGGUGCAGCGGGAGGUAAUACAGUAGGGGGAGGAGCAGUGUGAGGUAAUACAGUAGGGGAAGGAGCAGCGUGCGGUAAUACAGUAGGGGGAGGUGCAGCGUGAGGUAAUACAGUAGGGGGAGGAGCAGCGUGAGGUAAUACAGUAGAGGGAGGAGCAGCGUGAGGUAAUACAGUAGGGGGAGGUGCAGUGUGAGGUAAUACAGUAGGGGGAGGUGCAGCGGGAGGUAAUACAGUAGGGGGAGGAGCAGUGUGAGGUAAUACAGUAGGGGGAGGUGCAGCGUGAGGUAAUACAGUAGGGGGAGGUGCAGCGGGAGGUAAUACAGUAGGGGGAGGUGCAGCGGGAGGUAAUACAGUAGGGGGAGGAGCAGCGUGAGGUAAUACAGUAGGGGGAGGUGCAGUGUGAGGUAAUACAGUAGGGGGAGGUGCAGCGGGAGGUAAUACAGUAGGGGGAGGAGCAGUGUGAGGUAAUACAGUAGGGGGAGGUGCAGCGGGAGGUAAUACAGUAGGGAGAGUGGGAGGUAAUACAGUAGGGGGAGGUGCAGCGUGAGGUAAUACAGUAGGGGGAGGAGCAGCAUGAGGUAAUACAGUAGGGGGAAGAGCAGCGUGAGGUAAUACAGUAGGGGGAGGUGCAGCGGGAGGUAAUACAGUAGGGGAAGGAGCAGCGUGCGGUAAUACAGUAGGGGGUGCAGCAUGAGGUAAUACAGUAGGGGGAGGAGCAGCGUGCGGUAAUACAGUAGGUGGGGGAGCAGCGUGAGGUAAUACAGUAGGGGGAGGUGCAGCAUGAGGUAAUAUAGUAGGGGGAGGAGCAGCUUUAGGUAAUACAGUAGGGGGAGGAGCAGCGUGAGGUAAUACAGUAGGGGGAGGAGCAGCGUGAGGUAAUACAGUAGGGGGAGGAGCAGCGUGAGCUAAUACAGUAGGGGGAGGAGCAGCGUGAGGUAAUACAGUAGGGGGAGGAGCAGCGUGAGGUAAUACAGUAGGGGGAGGUGCAGCGUGAGGUAAUACAGUAGGGGGAGGAGCAGUGUGAGGUAAUAUAGUAAGGGGAGGUGCAGCAUGAGGUAAUACAGUAGGGGAGGGAGCAGCGUGAGGUAUAACAGUAGGGGGAGGAGCAGCGUGAGGUAAUACAGUAGGGGGAGGUGCAGCGUGAGGUAGUACAGUAGGGGGAGGUGCAGCGGGAGGUAAUACAGUAGGGGGAGGAGCAGCGUGAGGUAAUACAGUAGGAGAGGAGCAGCGUGAGGUAAUACAGUACGGGGAGGAGCAGCGUGAGGUAAUACAGUAGGUGGGGGAGCAGCAUGAGGUAAUACAGUAGGGGGAGGAGCAGCGUGAGGUAAUACAGUAGGGGGAGGAGCAGCGUGAGGUAAUACAGUAGGGGGAGGAGCAGCGUGAGGUAAUACAGUAGGGGGAGGUGCAGCGUGAGGUAAUACAGUAGGGGGAGGUGCAGCGUGAGGUAAUACAGUAGGGGGAGGAGAAGCGUGUGGUAAUACAGUAGGUGGGGGAGCAGCGUGAGGUAAUACAGUAGGGGGAGGAGCAGCGUGAAGUAAUACAGUAGGGGGAGGAGAAGCGUGUGGUAAUACAGUAGGUGGGGGAGCAGCGUGAGGUAAUACAGUAGGGGGAGGUGCAGCAUGAGGUAAUACAGUAGGUGGGGGAGCAGCGUGAGGUAAUACAGUAGGGGGAGGUGCAGCAUGAGGUAAUACAGUAGGGGGAGGAGCAGCGUGAGGUAAUACAGUAGGGAGAGUGGGAGGUAAUACAGUAGGGGGAGGUGCAGCAUGAGGUAAUACAGUAGGUGGGGGAGCAGCAUGAGGUAAUACAGUAGGGGGAGGAGCAGCGUGAGGUAAUACAGUAGGGGGAGGAGCAGCGUGAGGUAAUACAGUAGGGGGAGGUGCAGCAUGAGGUAAUACAGUAGGUGGGGGAGCAGCAUGAGGUAAUACAGUAGGGGGAGGAGCAGCGUGAGGUAAUACAGUAGGGGAGGAGCAGCGUGAGGUAAUACAGUAGGGGGAGGAGCAGCGUGAGGUAAUACAGUAGGGGGAGGAGCAGCGUGAGGUAAUACAGUAGGGGGAGGAGCAGCGUGAGGUAAUACAGUAGGGGGAGGUGCAGCGGGAGGUAAUACAGUAGGGGGAGGAGCAGCGUGAGGUAAUACAGUAGGGGAGGAGCAGCGUGAGGUAAUACAGUAGGGGGAGGAGCAGCGUGAGGUAAUACAGUAGGGGGAGGAGCAGCGUGAGGUAAUACAGUAGGGGGAGGAGCAGCGUGAGGUAAUACAGUAGGGUGAGGAGCAGCGUGCGGAUAUACAGUAGGGGGAGUGGAAGGUAAUGCAGUAGAGGGGAAUGCGAGUGCUUCUCAAAUGUAAUGUUUAAUGCAUUCUCCACACUCUCGUCCUCACAAAAACGUACUCAAGUGAACGUCUUCAGAAAAUGCACUAGGAGCAUA